CUAUACUCCAUCACUCCAUUUGAAAUGCUUCGUCCAGAAAAUGGAAUAUAUGGAUCUUUGCUUCUUUAUGCGUCUAUUUUUAGUAAAAUGUUUGACAUUUCACUAGAUCUUCUCCAGAAAUGCCCACCCUUAGCUACUACAUUAACCAGCACACCUCAGAUUUUAGCUACUGCAUCAAGCCAUCUGGGAAUCACACCUCUGAUUCAAUUAUGUGGUCAGAGUGAUUUAUUCCCCAGUAGUGUCCGAUUUGUCUUCUGGAAACGAUGGAUCUAUUCUUGCAUUCAGGUGCAACUACCUGCUGCCCAGCAUACUGAUGUUCGAAUAUCGAUUCCACAAGAUGGCCACGCGCAUCCUGAGAGCAAUUUAGUGCGAGGGCUAGGUCCAUUGCGAAGAUUUGGUUCAAAUUUACUUCAAUUGUUUGGAAUAAAGCAGAUUUAUGAUUCAAAGUUGACCCACGCCUAUGCUCUUGAACUUUUACAUUGGAUGUGCAAACACAUAGCCACUAUAGAUGACACAAAACUUCAGCAAAGUGGAGUAUACGAUGCAUUCUUUGGAGCUAUCAAAUUUGGGACCAUUGAAGUCGUUAUUGAGAUGCUCAAAGCCAAUCCCAGUCUUUUAACUUUUUCAAACUUCAAACGCAGACGCAUCCUUCAGUAUGCUGUUAAACAUCGGCAAGAAAAAAUUUUUAGCCUCAUAUACGCGCUUGAGACAAAAAAGCACUUGCUGAUCUCUUUAACUGAUUAUAAUCGAAAUAACAUUUUACACAUUGCAGCGAAGUUAGCACCUCCUGAUCGACUUGCAAGCAUUUCAGGUGCAGCUUUGCAGAUGCAAAGAGAGCUACAGUGG
rnacentral:misc_RNA from 1 species